AAUCCCGCGAACCAUCGAGUCUUUGAACGCAAGUUGCGCCUGAGGCCACUCGGCCGAGGGCACACCUGCCUGGGCGUCA
rnacentral:rRNA from 1 species